rnacentral:rRNA from 1 species
GACGAACGCUGGCGGCGUGCUUAACACAUGCAAGUCGAGCGGUAAGGCCCUUUCGGGAGUACACGAGCGGCGAACGGGUGAGUAACACGUGGGUGACCUGCCCUUAGCUCUGGGAUAAGCCUGGGAAACUGGGUCUAAUACCGGAUAUGACUCCAUGACGCAUGUUGUGGGGUGGAAAGCCUUGUGCGGCUAGGGAUGGGCCCGCGGCCUAUCAGCUUGUUGGUGGGGUGAUGGCCACCAAGGCGACGACGGGUAGCCGGCCUGAGAGGGCGACCGGCCACACUGGGACUGAGACACGGCCCAGACUCCUACGGGAGGCAGCAGUGGGGAAUCUUGCGCAAUGGGCGAAAGCCUGACGCAGCGACGCCGCGUGAGGGAUGACGGCCUCGGUUGUAACC